UUUAAUGCAGAUUAAUCAUUAUUUUAUAGUUAAUGCUUUUCUAAUUUAAGAAUUCUUGAUUCAGAGUAAAAGAUAUUUUCUUCUAAAAGUAUUAUGAUUUUGCUUUUCACAUGUAGAUUCUUAACUCAUCUAGAUUUUAUUUUUGUGUGUAUGAUAAAAGAGACCAUUUUCCCCCUUUCAUUUGCUUAACCAAUUGUUCAAGAUUUUAAAAUCAUCCUUGCCCCCACUGAUCAACAGUAUCACUCUGUCAUGUUAAGUUUCUGAUAAUAGCUUAAUUACUGUAGCUUAGUAAUGAGCUUUUAUAUCUGAUAGGCACCACCAACCUGGGACCACUGUAAAUCAAUUUCUUGGUUUUGGAUUUUGCUUACUCCAGACGUAUAUGAGCACAGGCGUGGUUACAAAUCCUCACCAAAGACUAUUGUUGUUAUAAUUAUUUUCUUUCCAGAGUGGUAUGUGAAGACAGUCAUGUUUCCUGGCAACCUCUCUUUGGCGGUAGAUUUUUUCCAUCCUGUUAACAGGGACCCUUUAAGGAUUCCUGCUUAAUGAAGGCAUUUUAAGUUUCCCCAAGACACACUCUCUCAUUCACUGAGCUGCUGAUGUUACUCUUUGCCUCUAGGUUCUCAUAUGGAGCUGAUUCAGAUUUGCUGUACCUUUUUCAGGUGUGGUGGGGGGAGAAGUCUGUUCCUUGGGAAGUUCUAUCAAUCAAGGUUGAUCAUACACUAAAAGAUCAGAAAACAGAAGAGAUUAGGUAAGUGCCCAAGGCUUCCCAGCUGGAAUGUGGCAGAACUGAGAUUCAUUUACUUGGCCCUGAAGAGCUCCUGUAUCCAAAAGGAAGGUGAGUAGGCUCAGCACCAGCAGAUGUGCUGUGAAGAAAAGGCUGUGCUGGCCUUCCUCCUGCAGUGCACCAUGUUGCUCUCCCUUCUGGAGACCCCUGCUCCCUACCCACUCCCUGAGGCAUUGCCUUUCUGAAAGAAGCCUCUGGGUCUGGGCUAGGCCCAUCUCAUGGACGAACUCUCUCGAUACUAGAAGCUGAGAAGAAAAGGUGGCACAUGUGGCCAUAGUGUAAAGGUUGGGUUGGAUAGUGACAUGCAAAGUGACGUGACUCUCCUUUUGGGCUUUCUCUGGGUAUGCCACUUCCCUUCCAGGCCACUAAAUGCUCCAGAGGACUGUGUCCUCUCACUGCUGAUGUGCUCCAGAAAGAAAGGUAUGACAGUGUCAGAAGGCAGGGAACCACCUACAAAGCAUGGUAAUGUGGUUGGGGACAAGUCCCUAACCGCUGAGUUUGAUGUCAUGGAUGGCAACCAUGCGAUCCCACAAAACAUCCCCUUUACCACUCUCAGGGGAAGCUCUGGGCUGGAAGGCUUUACCCACAGCCUGGCCUGUUGGUUCAGCUGUCAAAAUUCUAGGCAGCUUUAGAUGACAUGAAAUAAACAUAAUGCAAAUUUAAAUACCUGAAUGAAAAAUGUGAUAGUAGAAAUCAGUAUAUCAUGAAAAUCUGGCAGAAUUUAUCAGUUGCUUAUUUCAAAUACCAAUCCUACAAAAUUCCAAACUACCUGAAGACUUUUGAAAGCUUCUGAAAUAUAAUUGGAAUUGACCCCCCAAAAAUCCCCGAUGAAGGCACUACGUUGUUCAACCUUUUAUUUUUAAGACCUUGCUUUAAUGCAAGUAAAUUCUAUUCCAGCCACGAUCUGACUUGCGGGACAUGUGGCUGUGGCUGUCUUUCUCAGUGGCAAUGAUGGAUUUUCAGUGAGCACCUGGCAGGACUUCAGAGAUAAUCUGUGGCUAUGAAACAGCCACGCUGAGUGACCAGCAGCUUUGGUGUUACUAGCUGCGGGUUUUGCUGGCCGGACUGUAAACUCAUACUCAAGUCCUCCAAGCACCCAGGGCUUGAGAGAACAGAAGUGGGAACGCUGAUCCCGAGUGAUAAAGGUGGCAGCAUACUUUCCUCUAUGAGGCCUGUUUGACUUUAAUACAGGUUUUUAUGUUUGACACUCAUCCUAACAAACCCCUGGCACAGCCGAUAAAUGCAAAUGCCCAAUUUUAGAAACGGUAAUUAGGGAGUUCUAUCGCAGGUGGACCAGGAACCUGAACUUGUUAUUAGGACAGUCUGUUUUAGAUGACCUGAGAUAAAAUAGUCUAAGGAUUCUCUGAUAGAAGCUCCACAAAUGUCUCAUUUCCCAGUGAUUAUCCUAAACUGCCCACAUGGUGACCCUCUCUCAAACACCACACUGUACCCAGAUGUCUCAUCCUAAUUGAUUCUCCGUGAAUCCCUACUGUUCAUGAGGCUAACACUUGCUACUGUACAUCAAAGAGAAAGCAUGGACUGUCAGAAAUUAUCUACUGCUUUUAAAAAAUAGACCCUAGAGGUCGGGCAUGGUGGUGCACGCCUGUAAUCCCAACACUUUGGGAGGCCGAGGUGGGCAGAUCAUCUGAGGCCAGGAGUUCAAGACCAGCCUGGCUAACAUGGCAAAACCCCAUCUCUACCAAAAAUACAAAAAUUAGCCGGGUAUGGUGGCCCAUGCCUGUUAUCACAGCUACUCAGGGGGCUAAGGCAGGAGAAUAGUUUGAACUCGGGAGACAGCGGUUGCAAUGAACCAAGAUCACGCCACUUUACUCCAGCCUGGAUAAGAGAGUGAGACUCCAUUAAAAAAAAAAAAAAAAAAUGGGAGGCUGAGAUGGGUGGAUCAUUUGAAGUCAGGAGUUUGAGGCCAGCCUUGCCAACAUGGUAAAACACUGUCCCUACUAAAAAUACAAAGCGGGUGUGGUGGCACGUGUCUGUAGUUCCAACUACUCAGGAGGCUGAGGCAGGAAAAUCACUUAAGCCUUGGAAGUGGAAGUUGCAGUGAGCUGAGAUUGCAGAGAUAGCCUAGGUGGCAGAGUGAGAUCCUGUCUCAAAAAAGGAAAAAAAAGACCCUAAACACUUAGGACACUGCCCCCAACUGAAGCAGCUUUCACUAAGAUUCAAUUUACUUUUGAGAUUGACUAAUACAGUCUCAUUUGCCAAGCACAGCAUGCAGCUCUCUCUACAGACCAUAAGCACACAUAAAGUAAUUGGAAAUUUACCUGUGGCAUUUCCAGGGCCUUCAUGAGAGCUGAGAAGGAAUAGAGGUCCCCCAUGGAAUCCUUCAGUUCCACCGCCACCUGGAUGAUCUUACUGAGAGUGGCUGCUCGCUCGUCCAAAGUGCUCGUGCAGCCCAGAAUGUCCACUGCAAUGCCCAUGGCCAUUGUGUUGUGUCUGAAAGCGAGAUCAGCGGUCAGGUUCAGGGCCAAUGGGGACUAGAAAAAAACUAAACCAAAUCAGCCAAGAACAGGGCUGUGUUUGUGCCACUUGCUGCUAUUGCUCUGAAAUGUGCCAGCAGCACAGUUUAGACGCCAGUCUCAACAGAGAACGCCCCUUAGCAGGCUGACUGCGGAGGGCCAAGCUGGGCCACAGAGGGUGCACUUUGCAGUCAGAAAGCAAGAAGCCCCCGGACAGGGCCACAUUGAACCCUGGACCUGGGGGCACAAAGAGGGUGCUCCUGGGGCAAAGCUGCUCAGAAGUACAUGUGGCUGCUAGUACACUGUACCAUGAGAGGUCCAUGGAGACAGCAGGUCCCCCAACACACUCUGAGAAUCUCUCCUCGGGGAAGCCCAGGGCCACCUCCACUGAGCCCCUGGACUUGGGGAUGAAAGGGACAGAGAAAUGAGAGGAUAUGUUUUAGGCAGGACAAUAACACAGUUAUUAGAACAAAAGCUGGAAAGAAGAGAUAAGAAUGGUGUUCUGUAGCCUCACUCCAGAAGCCGGGAAAUGAAUGGAGAAGAGCAUAAAGAUGGAAUAGUUGAUGGGCUAGAAUGUGCCUACAAGGCCAGACCCUAAUAAAAUUGAAAUCUCAUGUUCCCCAACAAUCCUCCCUUUUCUCAUCCUAAACUACAUGGGUCAACCUCAGAGACCCAGAACAGGAAACGGUGAUCUUUUCGCUGCAUGACAAUCGGUCUAAUAUGAAUGGGGUCAGUCUGUGGCAGAAAGCAUAGACCGUGACCCCCUGUCCUUCCCACUGUAAAUCAGGACCCUGGAAUUAACUGCUUUAGACCAGAAUUGCCUCAGUUUCUUCUAGGCUGUGGUACAAGUGCUGGAGAUGAAGCCCCAGUUUAUAGCUAUAGUUAUUAAAACACAACAUGCAUUCGAACGCCAAGGCCACUCUGUCCUGAGUGUUCACAGCUUAGGGUGUUACUCCAUGUGGUGUUCUCCCUGUUCCAGCUGUGCUGGUCUCCGUCUUGCUCUCCUUGAACAAAGGGCAGCAGGGAUUCAUCGAGUGCUUUACCAUUACUCAUCUCUCUAAUGUUUGUUAAACAGCCAAUGAGCUCUGCCUCCAAGUGUGUUUGCACAUAUAUGCGUGUAUGGGGCUCACUUGCAGUGUAAGCUUAGGCUGGUGCCUAACUGCUCUACCCCUCAGCUGCUUUAUCUGUAAAACAGGAGCAAGGGUUGUGAGAAAUAGAGACUGUGUUUGGGUGUAAAGAUAAUUAAAGUGAGCCAGGUGACAUGGCUCACACCUGUAAUCCCAGCACUUUGGGAGGCCAAGGCAGGCAGAUUGCUUGAGCCCAGGAGUUCGAGACCAGCCUGGGCAACAAGGGCACAACCCCAUCUCGACUAAAAAUAACAAAAAUUAGGCAUGGUGGCACAUGCCUGUAGUUCCAGCUACUCUAGUGGCUGAGGGAUAAGAAUCUCUUGAACCCUGGAGGUGGAGGUUGGAGUGAGCAGAGAUUGCGCCGCUGCACUCCAGUCUGGAGGACAAGAGAGACUAUUUUAAAAAAAAGUAAUAAUAAUAAUGAUUAAAGUGCCUGGCACUGGCAGGUGCCUGAUAAAUAGCAGCUGUUACUACAGUGUGUCUGCACUUCUCUCCCUCUGUAUCUUGGUCCAUUGUGCCUCUUUGUCCAUCUUUCCUCUUUUCUCCAUUUAUCUCCUCUUCCUGAUUUAUCUUUCUCAAUGGAUCCAAUCAUAGACCUAAAAUAUAUUUUUAUUAUUUGUUGUAUUGUUUUUGCGACAGGGUUUUGCUCUGCUGCCCAGGCUGAAGUGUAGUGGCGUGAUCAUGGCUCACUGCAGCUUUGACCUCCUGGCUCAAGGGAUCCUCCUGCCUCAGCCUCCUAAGUAGCUGGAACCACAGGCAUAUGCCACCAUGCCCAGCUAAUUUUUCUAUUUUUUGUAGAAAUAGGGUUUUGCCACAUUGCCCAGCUAGUCUCGAAUUCCUGGGUUCAAGUGAUCCACAUGCCUUGGCCUCUCAAAGUGCUGGGAUUACAGGCAUGAGCCACCACACCUGGCUGUUAUUUGGUAUAUUUUUGGAAGAGUUUUAUUAUCCAUUUGCAAAAUGUUAACAUUGACAGAACAUCUUAGAUGUUGCCUUUAACUAACUAUAAACUCACUUCCCAUGCUGCAUUCAACUGAUUCUUUAUUCAGUGUUUUCUCCCUGUAUGUUUUAAUGGCCCUCUAGUGUUAUAUCAAUGGUUAUCAGAAUGGUUAUAUCCAUUCACUCAACCAGCAUUUGCCUGAAACCUGGAUACACCCACUAUGGGAAAACAACUCAGGCUGGCAAGUCUGCAGCAAAAGCUCCCGUAGUUGGCGAGGGGUGGCACUCAUAUGUCACAUGAAGGACACUUCCAGCCUAGGAUGCCUGGAAUGGGUGAAGUGGUAAAUUAAAGGGUGGUUUUGUAUUUGAUUGUCAAAUGCAAGAAGGUGAUGUCAUGUGACACAUCAGGACCUCUAUAACCUUGGCCUUUAUUGAAUAAACAAAUUGUAAUUAAUGAAACGACUCCCCCAGCUCUAAAAAGAAGAUCUCACAGGUCGGCCUUGGACAAGAAACAAGUGAAGGAACAAGACCCCAGCCAAGAGGCAGUCAGGAGAAAAGAGAAAUGAAGGGGAGAGUCAGAAAACAGCCAAGAGAGAAGCCCCAAACCUGUCACCCUUGUCCUGUCCCAGCACACCAAAUGAUACUGAUAAAAUAGGGCUAGAUUCAUUAGUCCUGGAACCUGGAGGGUUUCAGGCUGAAAUGUCUCAUGGGAGAAAUGGCAAAGUAUGGCGUCACAGCUCACCUCUGCUGAUAGAAUGGAAGAUAGUGGAGCCGGGGGGCCAGGGCCCUGGGGCAGGAGGCAAAAAGGGGACACCCGAGAGAAGCUGGAACCUAGAAAAGUCUCAUCAGGAAAAGCAGGGAAAUUCAGAAGCAGAACCUAGACUUCCCCAAAGGCCUGAACAAUGGGUGUUCCCGAACAAAGUCAGCAGGGGCAGGCACUUCUUCACCUCCGGCCUCCCUCCCACACGGCUUCAACUCAGCGUUCUGGGUAUUUUCUAUGGGAUGUAUCUAUGGCUGUGAGGCCAAAACAGCAGCAGCAUGGGAGUCGUUUUAUCUGCUUUACGCCCACGGAAAUGCCAAAGCAGCAACGCUCAUGCCCCCACAGAUGCUGUUUACCCUGAAAAUAGUAAAUUCUAACAAACGUCAUCCCUCAAUCACAUCAGUCAUAUUUCAGGUGUCUGAGAGUGACGUGGCUGGUGGCUGCUGUAAUAGCCAGUGCAGAACUCGUCUGUUACCACAGAAAGCUGCCCUGGACAGCCCUGGCAGUCAUGGCAACUAGGACAUGGGUGGGACAGACAGAAAACUUCACAAGAUAGUCUUGCCCAAAUCAAUUUUUAAAAAAUGUGUCAAAAAGGCCAGCUUUUGUGGCAUUAUGGAUAUCUAGUCUAGUGCUUCUUUUCUUAAAAACAUACCUCACUGUUGGUGUUUUUCUAAUUCCUAAACAUUCCAUUUCAAUGGACACCCAGGGCCCUGGCUUUUCAUAAGAGGGCAGGGAUGGCUUGGAGGCCCUGGGUGAGUGCCGUCAUCCCCUGACCUCUGACCCUAUUUGUCCACCCCUCAAAGAAAACACUGUCUAGACCCUGCUCUUCCCAGCAUUUCCCACAAACUCCUCAUAAUUCCUCAAGCAAUCUUAAUCCCCAAAGAGACAAAGGCGCAGCUCACUAGGCAGGGCUGUAGGGCUGUAGGGCAGGAGACCCAGGAGACCCCGCGGUGCUCUGGUCACCCCAGUCCCGCCCCAGGCUGCAGGAUCUGUGACUCCUGCUCACACAGGCCAACUGGGUCACUGGCUUCAGACCAUCUGUUCUCUCCAUCCGACCCUCCAGGAUCAGGGAGGGGAAGAUGUUCUUUGUUCCUGAGUUGUGCUGUCUUCGUGUGCAACUCCAGGAAUUCUCUGGCUCAGGCUUCUGGGAAGAGUCGCCACAGGCCAUGCACCCUGAAGCGCUGCUGCCCUAGGGCUGGGCUGGUGCUGGGCCUCUCUCCGUUCUAAAACCUGCUGCUCUGAUACCUGCAAGGAGCUGGGAGCAUCAGAAGUGCAGAGAACGGCGCUGCUCACCUUUCAAUUAUGUCCAGGCGCAGCUGGUGUCCGUGAGGCAAGGUAAUGAGUUCCAGGCCUGAGCUCACCCCCAUGUUCCUUUUCAUCUCUUCAGAGACUUCAAGUAUCCUAGCAACCUGUCAAGAGCCAAAGUUGAAAUAUACUAGGUCAGGAAGUGGGCUUGCCUGAUCACGAAUUCAGCAUAUGAGAAGAAACACACUGAACCAGAAUGGCGUGGACACACUUUCUGUGUUGCAUUUCUUUAUAAGCAGCAGCUGACAAUACUGUUCUUAUGUUUAGGGUGUUUUAAUACACACAGUAUAGUAUAAAACUUAGGGGGAAAAGAAAGACUGGUGGGAGAUGCCUACACUGCUCUGCAGAUCUACAGAUUUGUUAAGUGUUUCUGCCCAGCCAGAGAACAGUUCAGUUCUCUGAGCUUUUGUCUAACACAGGAUCCUGCUGUGACGUUUUGCUGCCAACAGCAGGGCUGCAUGUGUGCGGAGCUGGCUGAUCCCCUGCAGUGGAAAAGCAGAAUCUCAUUCAAGUGCCUCUCUGCUGUGGGCUUUGCCAUUCAUGUUCUCACUUAACAGCCACAGCUGGCUGCUAUUACCCUUAAUUAUGCUUCUCCUGGGCUCAGUAAAUGCUCUAUACGUCUGGAAGCUAUUAAAAAUGUGUACAGUGAUUGGAAA